CUAGCUGGCUCUCCCCUUGAACACUGAGUAGAAAGCUGGAGCUGAGGAAGGCAGGCAAGGCAGGCUGCAGGAUAGGCAGGGAGGCACAGAUACAGGCCCACCGAAGGUAGUCGGAGGCCGGACUGGAGUAUGAGGGGAAGGACUGGGGUGGGAUGGUCCAGAUGAUAUGAGAUCGAGGUAAAGAUGACGAAGGCUAAGAAUGAGACACUGGGAAUGCGAAUAGACAAGAAAAAAUACAUGAAGAAUUAUGGUCAUUUUGAGACUGGCCAAGGACAUUAAAAGCCUCUCUUAGAAGAAAUACUGGAUCAGUUCUUGCAAAGAUGUCUAGAAAGUCUAUAGAGAGAGUUCCAAGUCCAGCAUCAUAGCAGUGGAUUGUGUUUUCAUUUUCCUGCAGUGGAACACUGGUGGGGUAGCGGCUGACAUCCAAUCAGAGGACAGGACUGCAGGCCUUGUCAUAAGAACCAGCGUGACAUCACUGAAAGCAAUGCUGACAGCACUCCUGUAACGAGUCACAUGACAUUUUGGAGGAAAAAUGACAAGCAGUAUGCUAUGGACCCACUGUGAGAUUCCGGAAUAAAGAUCAUACAUACAGUACUCAAUUUGGACAGUCAGGUUGCUAGCUGCUGACUGCCUUGCUGACAGUAACAGGAUGCCCUUGAUUGCACCCCACCACCUCUUCGUCUUCUCACCAUCGCUCCCGCCGUAUUCAUGCCUCUAAGUCUAUAUCAUUACCUAUAGCUUCCAGGCCAUGUACAGAGUAUGAAUGAGGAAAAUUAAUUAACAAGACUCGGUCAAACAAUUACCGUAUUCCCUCUUGCAGCUCACAGCUUCUCUCCACGCUCCUCUCUUGGUUUGAGCGUCUAGCAGGUUUUCAAUUAAUUUUGUCAUGGACAUCAUUGGAGUUCUGGUUUUCGUCAGAGGGCUAUUAUGACAGUGAAAACCAUUUAAAUAUAUAAUGACCUCAUCAUAUUAUUACAGAACACACAUUUGACUCUACAUGAGGUACAUUAAAACAAAAUUAACUAGAUGUCAGAAUUGUGGAAAAAAGUACUAAUUAAGCCGUACAAC